rnacentral:rRNA from 1 species
GGCUUAAUGAUAAUAAUUUUAGGUCGAUCUGCCCAAUGAUUAAUAAUUAAAUGGCUGCAGUAUAUUUGACUGUACAAAGGUAGCAUAAUCAAUUGUUUUUUAAUUAAGAACUGGAAUGAAAGAAUUAAUGAGAUAUAUACUGUCUCAUAUAUAUAUAAUGAAUUUAAAUUUUUAGUUAAAAUGCUUAAAUAAUUUUAUGGGACGAUAAGACCCUAUAGAAUUUUAUAUUAAUUAUAAUUAUAAAAUUUAUUUUAUUAUUAUAUUAAUAUUUAGUUGGGAGGAUUAGUAAAUUUAGUAAACUUUAUUUUAAAUUUAAACUUUGAUUAAAGAAUAUUUUUUUGAUCUUGUAUUAUGAAUAAAAAGAAAAAAUUACCUUAGGGAUAACAGCGUAAUAUCUUUUUAAAGGUCAUAUUAAUAAAGAUGAUUGCGACCUCGAUGUUGAAUUAAGAUAAAUUUUAGAUGAAGAAGUUUAAAAAUUAAGUCUGUUCGACUUUUAAAAUCUUACAUGAUUUGAGUUCAAAUCGACGUAAGU